AUAUACACACAGCAUAUGACGGAACAGUGAGAGAUGCUCAUGGGUAUCAACUUGUUCAGUUCUCCUAUAAUAUCGAGGCAGAGUUCGGCUGGAAUGUAAGGAGCGUCUAAAGGAGUAUAGGGAGUCUGCCGAGCUAAAAAAGAAGAGGGGAAUCCCACAGACUCGUGAAGCUCAUCUUCCGAACUGUAAGGAUUCAUUGAAAGCUAAAAUAAUAGUGUAGGUGAUAGUGAUGUAGAUGAUAAUGUACCUAGGCAUGUAAGUCCUUUGAGGACGGUUUUUCCCUUAGUAGUG
rnacentral:lncRNA from 1 species